GUGACUGCGUACCUUUUGUAUAAUGGGUCAGCGACUUAUAUUCUGUAGCAAGGUUAACCGUAUAGGGGAGCCGGAGGGAAACCGAGUCUUAAUUGGGCGUUAAGUUGCAGGGUAUAGACCCGAAACCCGGUGAUCUAGCCAUGGGCAGGUUGAAGGUUGGGUAACACUAACUGGAGGACCGAACCGACUAAUGUUGAAAAAUUAGCGGAUGA
rnacentral:rRNA from 1 species